rnacentral:ribozyme from 15 species
AAGCUCAACAUAAAAAGCACAAACAACCACCGGUAAUAAAACACUCUGUUUAUAUACUUGUUCUUAUUUCUUUUUGCCCUUACUCUUAUUAAUUGCCCUUUUCUUAUCCUUCUUCUUGAUCUUGG